AAGAUACUAGUAAAAUAGCAAUUACACUGCCUUGUCAAGGCAGAAUUGUGGGUUAGAUCCCCGCGUAUCUUG
rnacentral:tRNA from 1 species